UAUCUUUGCACCGUCUAAAGCCAAAAAGUUGGUGGCGACUACAUAAUAAUUAUUUAAAUAAUAUUGGAAUG
rnacentral:ncRNA from 1 species